rnacentral:lncRNA from 1 species
UUCUAUCUUUCUUAGCAAUGUUGUGAUUGAUGGAUUUGUUUUUUUUUCAUUAUUUUUUUCUGGUUAUGGUAUGGGCAGUUCUCCAUCGACCCAGAAUCUGAUUGAGCCUGUGUGAUCUUCUCGAUCAUUAUUUUAAAGGGUCAUCCCUUUAUGGAAGAAAAGAAAUUUGAUGUAGAUUCGUGGCUCUGUACUUAUACAUCCCGUUAUUGUACUAUUGUAAAACAUAUUUGUAUUCUUGUCUUUCAUUUUUAUACUAAUGUGCCUUGUCUUUAUGCCUUUUUUUAUGUUUCUUUGGUACAUAUAGGACGUGGCUCUGUACAUCCCGUCAUUGUGUUAUUGUACUAUCAUGGUAAAUUGUGUAUAUAAAAAAGAAGAUGUGGUAUGAUUGCCAAUGAGACAACUAUCCACAAAAGACCAAACUGACACAGACAUUAACAACUAUAGGUCACCGUAUGGCCUUCAACAAUGA